GCGGGUAUGGUUCAGUGGUAGAACGCCAGCUUCCCAAGCUGGAGAUGAGGGUUCGAUUCCCUCUACCCGCA
rnacentral:tRNA from 1 species